rnacentral:rRNA from 1 species
AGCGAACAGGAUUAGAUACCUGGGUAGUCCACGCCGUAAACUUUGCUCACUCGCUGUUGGCGAUAGACAGUCAGCGGCCAAGGGAAACCGAUAAGUGAGCCACCUGGGGAGUACGUCCGCAAGGUUGAUACUCAAAGGAAUUGACGGGGGCCCGCACAAGCGGUGGAACAUGUGGUUUAAUUCGAUGAUACGCGAGGAACCUUACCUGGGCUUAAAUGUGAAGUGCAUUGAUUGGAAACAAUCAUUUCCUUCGGGACCCUUUACAAGGUGCUGCAUGUUUGUCGUCAGCUCGUCCCGUGAGGUGUCGGGUUAAGUCCCAUAACGAGCGCAACCCCUAUUGUUAGUUACCAGCGCGUGAUGGCGGUGACUCUAGCGAAACUGCCGGUGUAAACCGCGAGGAAGGUGGGGAUGACGUCAAAUCAGCACGGCCCUUAUGUCCAGGGCUACACACGUGUUACAAUGGCCGGUACAGCGGUCAGCUAGGCAGCGAUGUCAUGCUAAUCCCGAAAGCCGGUCCCAGUUCGGAUUGGAGUCUGCAACCCGACUCCAUGAAGGUGGAAUCGCUAGUAAUCGCGCAUCAGCCAUGGCGCGGUGUAUACGUUCCCGGGCAUGUACACACCGCCCGUCAAGCCAU